GAUGAACGCUGGCGGCGUGCCUAAUACAUGCAAGUCGAGCGAAUGGAUUAAGAGCUUGCUCCUAUGAAGUUAGCGGCGGACGGGUGAGUAACACGUGGGUAACCUGCCCAUAAGACUGGGAUAACUCCGGGAAACCGGGGCUAAUACCGGAUAACAUUUUGAACCGCAUGGUUCGAAAUCGAAAGGCGGCUUCGGCUGUCACUUAUGGAUGGACCCGCGUCGCAUUAGCUAGUUGGUGAGGUAACGGCUCACCAAGGCAACGAUGCGUAGCCGACCUGAGAGGGUGAUCGGCCACACUGGGACUGAGACACGGCCCAGACUCCUACGAGAGGCAGCAGUAGGGAAUCUUCCGCAAUGGACGAAAGUCUGACGGAGCAACGCCGCGUGAGUGAUGAAGGCUUUCGGGUCGUAAAACUCUGUUGUUAGGGAAGAACAAGUGCUAGUUGAAUAAGCUGGCACCUUGACGGUACCUAACCAGAAAGCCACGGCUAACUACGUGCCAGCCGCCGCCGUAA
rnacentral:rRNA from 1 species